ensembl:misc_RNA 7SK 7SK RNA
GGAUCUCUGGGUGAUCUGGCUGCAACAUCUGUCACUCCAUUGAUCACCAGGGUUGAUUUGGCUGAUCUGGCUGGCAGGCAGGUGUCCCCUUCCUCCCUCACCGCUCCAUGUGAAUCCCUCCUGAAGCUGCCCGCUCAGUUAAAGAGGACAGCCUUCCCCGAAUAGAGACUGACCGGUCUUUGGUAGAGGGUAUAUGAGUAGCUGCAUUCCAGUUAGAAGUUCCAAAUAAGCUCUCAAGAGUCACUUUUUGCCCCUAGAGUUUAGGUCCUGUGCAUGCACAAUUUUAUUACUCCAGGUUUACUUUUUUUCAUUCAGAGAGUCAUUGA